UGCUGGCUCUCAGGAGCAUGUGCACGCUCAUUCCAUUUUUACCCACCUGUGCACACACUGUAGGCUUGAAUGAACUUUUCGAGGAAACUCGGUUUGAGAACUGCUAGAAGCUGUUCUUGCAUUCCAGGUCUAUGUUUUAAACAUAUACUCUAUAACAAGUUCCAGAAUGUUAAUUAUAGGCCUUCUGUGCCUUUAAACCUAAUACAACUUUCAACAACGGAUCUCUUGGCUCUCGCAUCGAUGAAGAACGCAGCGAAAUGCGAUAAGUAAUGUGAAUUGCAGAAUUCAGUGAAUCAUCGAAUCUUUGAACGCACCUUGCGCUCCUUGGUAUUCCGAGGAGCAUGCCUGUUUGAGUGUCAUGAAAUUCUCAACCUCUCUGGCUUUUAUUAGCUUGGUCAGGCUUGGAUUGUGGGAGUUGCUGGCUUCUCUUGGAGAUCAGCUCUUCUUAAAUGCAUUAGCAAAAUUCUUGCUGAACAUCUUUGGUAUGAUAAUUAUCUAUACCAUUGAGACACAGCUUUUUCCACUUUGUUCGGAUUAGGCUCCUCUUGGAUCCAUCCAAGUGUUCGAUUCAACCGCUCUGAAGCACUAGCUUAGGCACAGAUGUUAACUCAUCUGAUGGUGUUACAUACUUCAGGUUGACGAAGCGAGGCGUUCUUCGGAGCGCUCACGAGAGCAAGCACUUUAUCAAUCUCUUGUAGGGGUUGUUUGUGCACUGUCAUAUUCCUGUACCUACCCUAGCUACUAUGUGGCUUUGAUGGGUCUGGUCAAACCAUGACCUGAACAUAUCCUUAGUGGAAGGAAAUUUGCUUCUAAUAUUGUUUCUAGGAACAAAC
rnacentral:rRNA from 1 species